ACUCUCUAAAGUGAGAGAACGGACAGGAAAUGCAGAGGACUGAGAAAAGGGGAGACAACUGAGAACGAUGUGACAGGGAACAGUUGUGGGUUCUGUGUGUUUAUGAGUGUGAUAUCAUAUAUUUUUGAGAGUAUGCUGCAAAGUGUGAAAAGCAUAAGGACAACGAGUACUGAGAAAGUAUGGUCUAUAAAUGUGAAUGAUGUAUUGUGAGAAAAAGAGAUAGUGCCCCCACCCAUGCAUAUAACAAGACUUCUGCUGGUUAUUUUCAGUCGUCCUCCCCACUUAUCUGCGAUUAAGUAAAGGUUAACAACAAUGAUAACGCGGCAAGUCACGGAAACUUCGCGUCUUGUCUAUUUUGAAAUGAACUCUUUGUUUAAGAUGAUGGGGAAGCGAACAGCCGAGUGGUUACAACGCUGUCAUCCGAACAGAGAGUGCUCUGGUUCAAUAUCCGAUUAGAGCAGCAAACUUCCCCAAGUCGACCUUGCUGGCGAGAAUGGGUUCCUGACUCCUUAGGACACAUUGCCCCCUGUCGCAUCGUCCGUUGAUGAAGCACACAGGGUUGCAGACGUCGUCAGAGAUCUCUAGCUUCACGACAAUCUCUCCGGUGGGUGUGGUGACGUAGUUAUCCGGGUUCUUGGCCAACUCCAAUUUGCAAAUUGUCAGGAAAGUGUCCACGAUGACCUCCGUUCCUAUGUAAUUAUCAGCUACC